rnacentral:rRNA from 1 species
GACGAACGCUGGCGGCGUGCUUAACACAUGCAAGUCGAACGGAAAGGCCCUGCUUUUGUGGGGUGCUCGAGUGGCGAACGGGUGAGUAACACGUGAGUAACCUGCCCUUGACUUUGGGAUAACUUCAGGAAACUGGGGCUAAUACCGGAUAGGAUCUCCUGCUGCAUGGUGGGGGUUGGAAAGUUUCGGCGGUUGGGGAUGGACUCGCGGCUUAUCAGCUUGUUGGUGGGGUAGUGGCUUACCAAGGCUUUGACGGGUAGCCGGCCUGAGAUGUUGACCGGCCACAUGGGGACUGAGAUACGGCCCAGACGCCUACGGGAGGCAGCAGUGGGGAAUAUUGCACAAUGGGCGGAAGCCUGAUGCAGCAACGCCGCGUGCGGGAUGACGGCCUUCGGGUUGUAAACCGCUUUCGCCUGUGACGAAGCGUGAGUGACGGUAAUGGGUAAAGAAGCACCGGCUAACUACGUG